GAAUUGCGAUAAGUAAUGUGAAUUGCAGAUUUCCAGUGAAUCAUCGAAUCUUUGAACGCAUCUUGCGCUCCUUGGUAUUCCGAGGAGCAUGCCUGUUUGAGUGUCAUUUAAUUAUCAACCAUCGAUCCUUAGGGAAAAGAUGGGUUGGAGUUGGGAGUUGCUGGCGUCGUCAGCUCUCCUUAAAAGCAUUAGCGACUAUGGAAGUCUUUCGACAUGCACGGCCAUUGACGUGAUAAUGAUCGUCGUGGCUGGAGUGUCUUUCCUAGACUAUGCUACAUAGAUCGCUUCUAACAAAGGAGAUCCUUGAUCUUUAUCCUUGCUUAGCUACUAGGGAGUCUCUGAAAAGAGGCUGGCGRACACACARCCAAGAGAAAGGGGAGAGGAGAUCAAAGUCGAUGUUGACGGUAAAUCCUUGAUCGGCUAGCUURGUUACUAGGCAGUCUUUAGGCUGGCGAACGCAGGCGGAAGCUAAUAGAGAGGAUGGAAAGUCGACGUCGAGAAAUGACUGACCUCAAAUCAGGUAGGACUACCCGCUGAACUUAA
rnacentral:rRNA from 1 species